CACGUAGGCACCAAGCGUUGUCCGGAUUUAUUGGGCGUAAAGAGCUCGUAGGCGGUUCGGUAAGUCGGGUGUGAAAUCUCUGGGCUCAACCCAGAGGGGCCACCCGAUACUGCUGUGACUAGAGUGCGGUAGGGGAGUGGGGAAUUCCUGGUGUAGCGGUGAAAUGCGCAGAUAUCAGGAGGAACACCGGUGGCGAAGGCGGGUCUCUGGGCCGAUACUGACGCUGAGGAGCGAAAGCGUGGGGAGCGAACAGG
rnacentral:rRNA from 1 species